rnacentral:rRNA from 1 species
GAUGAACGCUAGCUACAGGCUUAACACAUGCAAGUCGAGGGGAAACGACAUCGAAAGCUUGCUUUUGGUGGGCGUCGACCGGCGCACGGGUGAGUAACGCGUAUCCAACCUGCCCACCACUUGGGGAUAACCUUGCGAAAGUAAGACUAAUACCCAAUGAUAUCCCACGAAGGCAUCCGAAUGGGAUUAAAGAUUUAUCGGUGAUGGAUGGGGAUGCGUCUGAUUAGCUUGUUGGCGGGGUAACGGCCCACCAAGGCAACGAUCAGUAGGGGUUCUGAGAGGAAGGUCCCCCACAUUGGAACUGAGACACGGUCCAAACUCCUACGGGAGGCAGCAGUGAGGAAUAUUGGUCAAUGGGCGAGAGCCUGAACCAGCCAAGUAGCGUGCAGGACGACGGCCCUAUGGGUUGUAAACUGCUUUUAUAAGGGAAUAAAGUGGGUCACGUGUGACUUUUUGCAUGUACCUUAUGAAUAAGGACCGGCUAAUUCCGUG